AUUAAACGCUGGCGGCAUGCCUUACACAUGCAAGUCGAACGGCAGCACGGGGCAACCUGGUGGCGAGUGGCGAACGGGUGAGUAAAGCAUCGGAACGUGCCCUGGAGUGGGGGAUAACGUAGCGAAAGUUACGCUAAUACCGCAUAUUCUGUGAGCAGGAAAGCAGGGGAUCGCAAGACCUUGCGCUCUGGGAGCGGCCGAUGUCGGAUUAGCUAGUUGGUGGGGUAAAGGCCUACCAAGGCGACGAUCCGUAGCGGGUCUGAGAGGAUGAUCCGCCACACUGGGACUGAGACACGGCCCAGGACUCCUACGGGAGGCAGCAGUGGGGAAUUUUGGACAAUGGGCGCAAGCCUGAUCCAGCCAUGCCGCGUGAGUGAAGAAGG
rnacentral:rRNA from 1 species